AGUUAAAUAGUACGUGAAAUUGUUGAAAGGGAAACGAUUGAAGCCAGUCGUACCUAUGGGUAAUCAGCCUUUUGGGUGUGAUUUUGUGGAGCGUGAGGAGUUAAACGCCUUCAUGCCUGCAUAUUCGUGCACUUUGGGUGUACUUGCCCGUAUGGUUGGUUAACAUCAAUUUUGGUGGUCAUAAAAUGACUGGAGGAAUGUAGCUUCGAUCUCGUAUUGAAGUGUUAUAGCCUUCGGUAGAUGUGAUGAUCGAGAUUGAGGAUUGCAACGGAUACCCUUCGGGGCUACCUGUCUGAUCUCUGAUCGUUGCUCUGGUGCCGAAAGCUUGCUUACGGUUAUCAAAGUCGAUGGUCAAUAGGUUAGAACGGGUUAAAUUCGUUAAGGAUGUUGACGUAAUGGCUUUAAA
rnacentral:misc_RNA from 1 species